rnacentral:lncRNA from 7 species
GCCAGGAGAGCACGGCAGCCAGAGGAGAUGUGCCGUGGGCAGCGCUGCGGGGGCCUCGCAUCCCUCCUGCUGCUGCUGCUGCUCUGCAGGGCAAAACCUGGGUCUUCUCAUCAAAAUCCCGCAGGAUGCGGUCAGUGGUACCGUGGGGCAGUCCGUGCUCCUGCCCGUCUCCUACAGAGCCAACAGCUCCCUUCUCUUCCCAGUGUCAAUUCUGUGGAAGUUUAGGAACAGCUCACGAGUGAUCGUCACCUGCACGGCCGUGCUGCGGUCUUCCCCGAGAACGCAUCCCUGCUGUUGCGGGACCUGCAGCUCAAUGACAGCGGGCUGUACAGCGUCACCUUCCAAGAGCAAAACCUAAGCAGGCAGAUCACCCUGGCCGUGCACAAGCAGCAUGGUUCCACUGAGCAUCCUGAUGAAGGCACAGAGCAAAUAGCAGGACGUACAGCUGCACGCAUCCCUUGCUACAGCCUCGGAGCCUGCUACUGCUUCAUCCUGCUGCUCCUGCAGCUGCUCUUCCACCUGCUGUGCAUGCGGGGUGGCUGCCAGCAGCAGAGACGACCCAGAGAAGCAUGAGGCUGCUGCUGGGGAGAGGAGUGCCGGCAAGUGGGAGCAGACAGAGCUGGUGCCCCAGCAGUGCCCAGGCACAAUGAGUGUGCUCAGCGGUGCCUCGGGCUGUUUUCCCUGACACCAGUCCCUGUGCUGGAGAAACCCAGGCAUCCACAAGCACCUGUCCCUGCCUGCAGUGCACAAACGCUUCCCCACUCACAUCUCCCCACCAUUAACUAACCCCUCCCGUGGGCAAAUAAACAUCCCUUCCUCC